rnacentral:rRNA from 1 species
GUCCAUGCCGUAAACGUUGGGCACUAGGUGUGGGACUCUAUCGACGGGUUCCGUGCCGUAGCUAACGCAUUAAGUGCCCCGCCUGGGGAGUACGGCCGCAAGGCUAAAACUCAAAGGAAUUGACGGGGGCCCGCACAAGCGGCGGAGCGUGUGGCUUAAUUCGAUGCAACGCGAAGAACAUUACCUAGGCUGAACUACGCGGGAAAAGCAGUGGAAACGCUGUGUCCUUCGGGGCCCGUGAUAGGUGGUGCAUGGCUGUCGU